UACGAAGGGGGCUAGCGUUGCUCGGAAUUACUGGGCGUCAAGCGCACGUAGGCGGCUUGUUAAGUCGGGGGUGAAAUCCUGGAGCUCAACUCCAGAACUGCCUUCGAUACUGGCGAGCUCGAGUUCGGGAGAGGUGAGUGGAACUGCGAGUGUAGAGGUGAAAUUCGUAGAAUAUUCGCAAGAACACCAGUGGCGAAAGGCGGCCUCAGCUGGCC
rnacentral:rRNA from 1 species